rnacentral:rRNA from 1 species
UACAGAGGUGGCAAGCGUUGUUCGGAUUUACUGGGCGUAAAGCGCACGUAGGCGGGUUGUUAAGUCAGGGGUAAAAUCCUGGAGCUCAACUCCAGAACUGCCUUUGAUACUGGCAACCUAGAGGCUGGAAGAGGUUAGUGGAAUUCCCAGUGUAGAGGUGAAAUUCGUAGAUAUUGGGAAGAACACCAGUGGCGAAGGCGGCUAACUGGUCCAGAGCUGACGCUGAGGUGCGAAAGCGUGGGGAGCAAACAGG